rnacentral:rRNA from 1 species
AACGAACGCUGGCGGCAUGCCUAACACAUGCAAGUCGAACGAGACCUUCGGGUCUAGUGGCGCACGGGUGCGUAACGCGUGGGAACCUGCCCUUAGGUUCGGAAUAACUCCCCGAAAGGGGUGCUAAUACCGGAUAAUGUCUUCGGACCAAAGAUUUAUCGCCUUUGGAUGGGCCCGCGUUGGAUUAGCUUGUUGGAGGGGUAAAGGCCUACCAAGGCGACGAUCCAUAGCUGGUCUUAGAGGAUGAUCAGCCACACUGGGACUGAGACACGGCCCAGACUCCUACGGGAGGCAGCAGUGGGGAAUAUUGGACAAUGGGCGAAAGCCUGAUCCAGCAAUGCCGCGUGAGUGAUGAAGGCCCUAGGGUUGUAAAGCUCUUUUACCAGGGAUGAUAAUGACAGUACCUGGAGAAUAAGCUCCGGCUAACUCCGUGCCAGCCGCCGCCGUAAGAC